rnacentral:rRNA from 1 species
GACAGAGGCGCCGAGCGUUAGGCGGAAUCACUGGGCUUAAAGCGUGUGUAGGCGGACCCGUCAGUGUCUUGUGAAAUCCCACGGCUCAACCGUGGAACGGCUGGGCAUACCGCGGGUCUUGAGACACCUAGGGGCGAGCGGAACAGGCGGUGGAGCGGUGAAAUGCGUAGAUAUCGCCUGGAACGCCGACGGUGAAAACAGCUCGCUGGGGGUGUUCUGACGCUGAGACACGAAAGCCAGGGGAGCGAACGGG